AAUUAAUGAGCUUGAAUAAAGCAUAUGCUUUGAAAGCAUAAGAUAAUAGUAAUAUCUAUUAUUAAUUU
rnacentral:tRNA from 1 species